rnacentral:rRNA from 1 species
ACCAGACUCCUACGGGAGGCAGCAGUGGGGAAUAUUGCACAAUGGGGGAAACCCUGAUGCAGCGACGCCGCGUGAGUGAAGAAGUAUCUCGGUACGUAAAGCUCUAUCAGCAGGGAAGAUAAUGACGGUACCUGACCAAGAAGCCCCGGCUAACUACGUGCCAGCAGCCGCGGUAAUACGUAGGGGGCAAGCGUUAUCCGGAUUUACUGGGUGUAAAGGGUGCGCAGGCGGCUCUGCAAGUCAGGCGUGAAAGCUAGGGGCUCAACCCCUAAAUUGCGCUUGAAACUGUGGAGCUUGAGUGAAGUAGAGGCAGGCGGAAUUCCCGGUGUAGCGGUGAAAUGCGUAGAGAUCGGGAGGAACACCAGUGGCGAAGGCGGCCUGCUGGGCUUUAACUGACGCUCAGGAACGAAAGCAUGGGUAGCAAACAGGAUUAGAUACCCCCGUAUU